AGCGAAACAACAAAAAGGAUAAAGAUGAGGAUUAUGAUAAAGGGUGGAGUGUGGAAGAACACAGAAGAUGAGAUCCUUAAAGCUGCUGUUAUGAAAUAUGGGAAGAAUCAAUGGGCGCGGAUCUCUUCCCUUCUUGUCUGCAAGUCAGCGAAUCAGUGCAAAUCUCGGUGGUACUAGUGGCUCGAUCCGUCCAUCAAAAAGAUUGAAUGGACCAGAGAAGAAGAUGAGAAACUGCUUCAUCUUGCCAAACUCAUGCCGACACAGUGGAGAACGAUUGCCCCUAUUGUGGGUCGAACUCCAUCUCAAUGCCUUGAGCGUUAUGAGAAAUUGCUUGAUGCUGCCUUUGUAAAAGAUGAAAACUAUAAACCCAGCCAUGACCCAUGGAAAUUGCGUCCUGGUGAGAUUGAUCCAAACCCAGAAUCCAAGCCUGCACUUCCAGACCCUGUUGAGGUGGAUAAGUAUGAAAAAGAAAUGUUAUCAGAAGCACGGGCUCGGUUAGCAAACACCAGAGGAAAGAAGGCAAA